CAGAUCUUGCUGCUCCAGCCUCCAGGGCACUUACCAUCCUCACAGCCUGUGAUCCACAGAGGGGGGGAAAAAUAACUAUAUAUCGUUCUUUUGUCCCACGCACACCCGAGGCGAGAAGAAAAACCCCCAACACCCAAACCUUAAUUUUCCACCAUGAGGGAAAUCGUGCAUAUCCAGGCUGGUCAGUGUGGCAACCAGAUCGGCGCCAAGUUCUGGGAGGUGAUCAGUGAUGAACACGGCAUUGACCCCACCGGCACCUACCAUGGGGACAGCGACCUGCAGCUGGACCGCAUCUCAGUGUACUACAAUGAAGCCACAGGUGGCAAAUAUGUUCCUCGUGCUAUCUUGGUGGAUCUAGAACCUGGAACCAUGGACUCGGUUCGCUCAGGUCCUUUUGGCCAGAUUUUCAGACCAGACAACAUUGUUUUUGGUCAGUCUGGGGCAGGCAACAACUGGGCCAAGGCCCACUAUACCGAAGGGGCCGAGCUGAUUGAUUCCGUCUUGGAUGUGGUGCGGAAGGAGGCUGAGAGCUGUGAAUGCCUGCAGGGCUUCCAGCUGACCCACUCCCUCGGUGGAGGCACAGGCUCCGGAAUGGGCACCAUGCUCAUCAGCAAGAUCAGAGAAGAGUAUCCUGACCGCAUAAUGAAUACCUUCAGUGUGGUGCCUUCACCCAAAAUAUCCGACACUGUGGCUGAGCCCUACAAUGCUACCCUCUCUGUCCACCAGUUGGUAGAGAACACCGAUGAGACCUACUGCAUUGAUAAUGAAGCCCUCUACGAUAUCUGCUUCCGUAUCCUCAAGCUGACCACACCAACCUAUGGAGACCUCAACCACCUUGUCUCAGUCACCAUGAGCGGCGUCACCACCUGCCUCCGCUUCCCUGGCCAGUUCAAUGCUGACCUCCGCAAGCUGGCUGUCAACAUGGUGCCAUUCCCACGUCUCCAUUUCUUCAUGCCUGGCUUUGCCCCACUAACCAGCUGUGGUAGUCAGCAGUACUGGGCCCUUACUGUGCCUGAGCUCACCCAGCAAGUCUUUGAUGCCAAGAACAUGAUGGCUGCUUGUGACCCCCGCCAUGGCCGCUACCUCACUGUGGCUGCUGUCUUCCGAGGACGGAUGUCCAUGAAGGAGGUGGAUGAGCAGAUGCUUAAUGUACAGAAAAGAAUAGCAGCUACUUUGUGGAAUGGAUCCCCAACAACAUCAAGACCGCUGCCUGUGACAUCCCGCCCCGUGGCCUCAAGAUGGCAGUUACCUUCAUUGGCAAUAGCACCGCCACCCAGGAGCUCUUCAAGUGUAUCUCAGAGCAGUUCACCGCCAUGUUCCGCCAGAAGGCCUUCCUCCACUGGUACACCGGUGAGGGUACAGACGAGAUGGAGUUCACCGAGGCCAAGAGCAACAUGAAUGACCUCGUUUCUGAGUACCAACAGUACCAAGAUGCCACCGCAGAGGAGGAGGAAGACUUCGGUGAGGAGCCUGAAGAGGAGGCUUAAGGCAGAGUGUCCUAUCACCUAGGGCUUCUCAGCUCCCUCAGCCUUCUUCCUCAACUUCCCCUUUCCUCUCCCUCAGAAUUUGCAUUUCUGCCUCUAUCUUUUUUUUUCUCCUUGAGGGAGUUCUAGAACAGUGCCUGGCACAUAGUAGGCGCUCAAUAAAUAAUUGUUGUUU